UACGGGGGGAGCAAGCGUUGUUCGGAUUUACUGGGCGUAAAGGGCGCGUAGGCGGUAGCACAAGUCAGUUGUGAAAUCUCCGGGCUUAACUCGGAAAGGUCAACUGAUACUGUGCGACUAGAGUGCAGAAGGGGCAACUGGAAUUCUCGGUGUAGCGGUGAAAUGCGUAGAUAUCAAGAGGAACACCUGCGGCGAAGGCGGGUUGCUGGGCUGACACUGACGCUGAGGCGCGAAAGCUAGGGGAGCGAACGGG
rnacentral:rRNA from 1 species